rnacentral:rRNA from 1 species
GGAUAGAGGCCUACCAUGGUGGUAACGGGUAACGGGGUGUUAGGGCACGACACCGGAGAGGGAGCCUGAGAAACGGCUACCACAUCCAAGGAUGGCAGCAGGCGCGCAAAUUACCCAAUCCCGACACGGGGAGGUAGUGACAAUAAAUAACAAUACGGGGUUCUUUAGGAUCUCGUAAUUGGAAUGAGUACAAUUUAAAUCUCUUAACGAGGAACAAUUGGAGGGCAAGUCUGGUGCCAGCAGCCGCGGUAAUUCCAGCUCCAAUAGCGUAUAUUAAAGUUGUUGCAGUUAAAAAGCUCGUAGUUAAAUUUCGGGGUUAGUAGGUUGGUCAUGCCUCUGGUAUGUACUGGUCUCACUGAUUCCUCCUUCCUUAUGAACCGUAAUGCCAUUAAUUUGGUGUUGCGGGGAAUUUGGACUGUUACUUUGAAAAAAUUAGAGUGUUUAAAGCAAGCUAACGCUUGAAUACAUUAGCAUGGAAUAAUGAAAUAGGACGUUCGAUCUUAUUUUGUUGGUUUCUAGGAUUGACGUAAUGAUUAAUAGGGAUAGUUGGGGGCAUUAGUAUUCAAUUGUCAGAGGUGAAAUUCUUGGAUUUAUUGAAGACUAACUACUGCGAAAGCAUUUGCCAAGGAUGUUUUCAUUAAUCAAGAACGAAAGUUAGGGGAUCGAAGACGAUCAGAUACCGUCGUAGUCUUAACCAUAAACUAUGCCGACUAGGGAUCGGAUGA